AUAAUAUUUAUUUAUUAAUUUUUUUUUUAUAUUGUUUAAUUAUAAUUAAAAUAAUUUUAAAAAUAAUGGUUUUAGUAUUUUUUAAAGAAAAAAUAAUUUUUAUGAUAGUUUAUUUGUAUUGUGAAAGAUAAUUGAAAUAAUUUGAAAAAUUUUUAUUUAAAAAGAAAGUUUUAUUUGCUGUACCUUGUGUAUCAGGGUUUAUUAAAUAAAAAAUAUUUAUUGAUAUUUUUCUCGAUUUUAAGAGAUCUAAUAAAUAAUGAUAGUUAAUGUAGCAUAAUUAUUAUAAAUUAUUAUUAGAAAUGAAACGUUAUUCGUUCUUAAAUAUAUCUAGUUUUUUAAGAAAUAAAUUUAAUUUAUAUAUUAAAAUGUAAUAAUUUAAUUUUAUAAUUUAUUAUAUUUUAAUAUAAAUAUUUUAAGGGAUGAGCUUUAGAAUAAAUUUUUAUAAUUAUUAAAUAUUGAUAAUAAAUAUAGGCUUAGAAAUAGUCAUUAUUAAUAAAUAUGUUAUAAUUUAUUUUAUUAUAAAAAAUAUUUAGUUAUAUUUAAAUGAUUUAUUAAAAUUUUGCUUUUAAUAUUAAAAAGUAAUUAAUUAUGAUGAAAUUAGUAAAUAUAUUUUUAAAAAUAAUUUAAAUUGAAAGGUUUUUUUAAGUAAUUCGGCAAAUUUAUAUUCACCUGUUUAUCAAAAACAUGUCUUUUUGUAUUUAAUUUAAAGUCUAACCUGCCCACUGAAAAUUUUAAAGGGCCGCGGUAUUUUGACCGUGCAAAGGUAGCAUAAUCAUUAGUCUUUUAAUUGGAGGCUCGUAUGAAUGGUUGGAUGAAAUAUAAACUGUCUCAAAAAAAUUUAUUAUUGAAUUUUAUUUUUUAGUUAAAAAGCUAAAAUAAAAUUAAAGGACGAGAAGACCCUAUAAAACUUUAUAUUUAAUUUCUAUUGUUUAUAUAGAUAUUUUAAAACUUUAUUAUAUUAAAUAUUUUGUUGGGGUGACAAUAAAAUUUAAUAAACUUUUAUUAAAAUUUUACAUUUAUUUAUGGUUAAUUGAUCCAUUAUUAGUGAUUAUAAAAUUAAGUUACUUUAGGGAUAACAGCGUAAUUUUUUUUGAGAGUUCAUAUCGACAAAAAAGAUUGCGACCUCGAUGUUGGAUUAAGAGUUAUUCUUGGGUGUAGCAGUUCAAGCUUUAGGUCUGUUCGACCUUUAAAUUCUUACAUGAUCUGAGUUCAAACCGGUGUAAGCCAGGUUGGUUUCUAUCCUUAAUUCAUUAAAAUUUUUUAGUACGAAAGGACCAAAAAUUUAAAAUAAAGUUUUUUUAUUAUGAAAGUUAUUAAUU
rnacentral:rRNA from 1 species